GACGAACGCUGGCGGCGUGCUUAACACAUGCAAGUCGAACGAAGAGCGACGGAAGCUUGCUUCUAUCAAUCUUAGUGGCGAACGGGUGAGUAACGCGUAAUCAACCUGCCCUUCAGAGGGGGACAACAGUUGGAAACGACUGCUCAUACCGCAUACGAUCUAGUCUCGGCAUCGAGGAUGGAUGAAAGGUGGCCUCUACAUGUAAGCUAUCACUGAAGGAGGGGAUUGCGGCUGAUUAGCUAGUUGGAGGGGUAACGGCCCACCAAGGCGAUGAUCAGUAGCCGGUCUGAAAGGAUGAACGGCCACAUUGGGACUGAGACACGGCCCAGACUCCUACGGGAGGCAGCAGUGGGGAAUCUUCCGCAAUGGACGGAAGGCUUACGGAGCAACGCCGCGGGAGGGAUGACGGCCUUCGGGUUGUAAAGCUCUGUUAAUCGGGACGAAAGGCCUUCUUGCGAAUAGUGAGAAGGAUUGACGGUACCGGAAUAGAAAGCCACGACUAACUACGUG
rnacentral:rRNA from 1 species